GAAAAAUUGCAGAGGCAACAGUGAAAAAGAUCAUUGGUAAAGCAAAAGAAUACUUUAUUUUUGUUGCAGAGACAGAAACACGGAGUCCAAACAUUGAAGAUUGCCUCAACACGAAAAAAGUGGAUGCUUUCGUGCAAACGCGAUUGGCCAAACCCUUAAGCUACGGCACGGUGGCAGGCUAUGUACAAUCGAUUUUAUAUAUUGCCAAAUAUGUGAAGAGAAAUAGCGGAAACCUUAUGGAAAUAAAAGAGAUUGUGCAGCUGAAAAGAAUACAGUCUCAGCUGCAGGUAAGCAUUUAAUUUGAAGUCAUCUACUUCAGAGUUUAUAUCUACGUUUCAAGUGAACUAAGAACGGCCAAAGUGACCAAGAUUGCCAAAUUAUCGUCGUCCAAUAGCGAAUUUGAUAUAAAAUAUGCUUUGAAAAGAUUACAGCGUUGGUUGUGCUGUCGGUUACUUCUACGCUUUACGCACUUUGUAUGCAUUUUCCUUCUUGAUGGUGUUGUUUUCUUUUGCUGAUUGCAUUCACUUUUCUUUUAACAGAGAGAGUACGAAAAGGAGAGAAGGAGAAAAAAUACAAAUACGGACAGAAAAAAAAAACUAUUACUGGGGACAAGCAAUGGAACUAUUAAAGAAAAUGAAAUAUGAAUUGGAAACAUUUUGUGGCACGAGAAUAGAUAAGGCAAGAUUGUAUCAUGAUUUCUUAAUUCUUUUAAUGUUUGCCACUGUUAAUCCGGCAAGAAACACUGACAUGAUAAGACUUAAAAUAGUGCAAGAGAAGGAUGAAGAGCGAGAUAGAAAUAACAACUAUCUUAUAUUCAAAGAAGAUGGCACAGUGGAAUUGGAAAUAAACAUUUUUAAAACCUCUUCGACUUAUGGGUGCAAUCGGAUCUCGGUUUCGAGCGUCGAUUAUUUAGAGCGCUAUUUGCGAACAUUUAUAGAUAAAGAAAGGAGGAUACUCCUUAAAGAUAAGAAACACGACUUUCUUUUCAUGCGUAAAAGUGGAGAGCCAUUUGAAAGUUCCGAAUCAUUUACAGUUUAUCUCUCCAAGUCAUUCUCACAACAUUCGGAUGAUCAAUUGCAUGUAACUACAGGAACCCUUCGUAAAAGUUUAGUUAACUGGGUUCUGUCUGAGGAAAAGGACAAAAACAUAGAAGCAGCUAUCGCAAGACUUAUGUCACACAGUCAGAGAACUCAGAGACUACCAUGGAAACCGAGAACAAAAUUAAAAAGGGUGUAAGACACUUGGCAGAUAAUACAGCUAACUGUUUAGGGAUUCGUCGAAAAUUGUCCUGUUGGAACUACCCCAUUAGAGAUCAAAUUGUUGCUCUAAUUACAAAUGAUUCGACUUUGGCUGUUCCAAACAUUUUAGUAGGUAAGGUAAUCGAUGUGAACUACGACGAGAAAACUGUAUUAAUGGCCGAGAUGGAAGAGACUGACGAAAGCUACACGUAUAAAAUGAAAAUUGGCAUCACCUUCAAAGAAAGUAUAGAGGCUGUAGUUCACCCCAUUGAUUGUGUAUAUGAUGCGGACAGUAACACUUAUCAUCUCCGAACACGUAAGCAUGAAAUAUACGAGGCAGUCAUGGAAGGGAUGCGACAACAAAUGGAUGAAAGUUCAUCGGAAUCAGACAAUGACUUUAUUUAAAUUUUGUUACAUCAUAACACAUUAUACUAUUAUUUGCGAACAUUUGUGACACCUUCAUAGAUUAAUUAGAGGUUGUAGUUCUCUCCAUUGAUUGUGUUACGAUUUAUUCCUUUUGAAGUAUCAACGCUAUAAAGAUAUUUUUUUCAUGUAGCUACAUAACAAAAAGUUUUCUUUAAGUUUUCAAAGUAGAAAAAGUGUCUACCAAAGAACAACUUUUCAUUUUUGUUUCUUUACGUGUCUUCUAAAUACAUGCAUUGAUAUAUACAGGCCCCUUAAAUUAUGUGUUUUAAAGCCCUUCAAAACCAAUUGCUAGCGCUAAUUUAAGUUUAAAAUGAUGUAUGAAAGUUAUUUCACAUUGAUACUAACUCCCUGAAGGCCCCUAGGUUAGGGGUAUUUCCCAAUACCAAAGUUAAAGAUACCCACAAUCAAAAGCAGAACAGAACAUUUAAUGAAUUGAAGUGAAUUGAAUUGGUCAUAACCCACCUAGGGAAUGACCAAACUUUAGAUGCAAUUUACACCAAAACCAUAUAGAAUUUCCAAGACCUCUGGUACUAUGCUAGAGAUGAAGUAUAUUUACCCAUUGUAUCAAAAGCUGGUAAUCUUAAAAGCUAAUUUACUAUUUUUCCAUAUUUUUCGAACAUUCCUUACUUCACUACUAUAGAGGGGUUUUAGCGGCGCGUCCUGGUGAAACAAUAGGGCCUCGGUUAAAUGUAUUAAGGAAGGGGUGAUACUUUUCAAAAUAAGUGAAAAAAUCAUUAAAUGUUUCUGGUGUAGAAAAUUACGCUGAGUUGAUUGACACUCUAGAUAAAGGGUCUUAAAUGCACCGUUUUCGAAAUAAUUGGGGUUGAAGUGGGGCAAAACAAUAGGGAAAACAAUAGGCCAAACUAAGGAAAAAUGACCACUAGCAUCAAAUAGAGGCUGCACCAUGCUCAAUAUAAACAAAAUGGCGCUUCAAUUCCGCGCGCUAAGUUGCUUCGGAGAGUGUAAAAUGGAUACGAAUGAUACUACUCAGAUUACUUUGGUUUAGACGUCAGAGCAAUAGCAGAACAACAUCAAUUCAUUGGCGGAUCAUAAGGAGCUGGAGAAUGAAGAAGUCCGUGACUUUUAUGUAGUUUAAUUCUCUUUCGAUAUAUAAUUUUCUAUAAAAAUAAUAAGUUUCGGUAUAUAUCACGUAGCCCUAUCAAUUUUAACUUGAACAAGUAAAAUAUGUACGGUGCUUGUAGUACUUCACCCAAAUAACGAUAGUAUAAUGAGCGAAUAAGUUCAGUACCAGAUUGGUUGUAACAACACGUUUUUUCCCGUAUAAACUUGUUAUUAUUAAUUAUAACAAUACGUCAUAUUAGCAAGUUUUUAUGAAUGUUAAAUUAAGUGUUGUUUUUUGUCAAACAAGAAUUUAUCAAGGUU